GACGAACGCUGGCGGCGUGCCUAACACAUGCAAGUCGAGCGGGAACCCAGGGAGGGGUAACCCUCCUUGGGGGAGAGCGGCGAACGGGUGAGUACCACGUGGGCAACCUGCCCCAGACACUGGGAUAACCCCGGGAAACCGGGGCUAAUACCGGAUACUCCGAGCGGACCGCAUGAUCCGGUCGGGAAAGCUCCGACGGUCUGGGAUGGGCCCGCGGCCUAUCAGCUUGUUGGGGGGGUAACGGCCCACCAAGGCGACGACGGGUAGCUGGUCUGAGAGGACGGCCAGCCACACUGGGACUGAGACACGGCCCAGACUCCUACGGGAGGCAGCAGUGGGGAAUCUUGCGCCAAUGCGCGAAAGCGUGACGCAGCGACGCCGCGUGGGGGAUGAAGGCCCUCGGGUUGUAAACCCCUUUCGCCAGGGACGAAGCGGAAGUGACGGUACCUGGAGAAGAAGUCCCGGCUAACUACGUGCCAGCAGCCGCCGUAAAAC
rnacentral:rRNA from 1 species